AAAUUGAAGAGUUUGAUCAUGGCUCAGAUUGAACGCUGGCGGCAGGCCUAACACAUGCAAGUCGAACGGUAACAGGAAGCAGCUUGCUGCUUCGCUGACGAGUGGCGGACGGGUGAGUAAUGUCUGGGAAACUGCCUGAUGGAGGGGGAUAACUACUGGAAACGGUGGCUAAUACCGCAUAACGUCGCAAGACCAAAGAGGGGGACCUUCGGGCCUCUUGCCAUCAGAUGUG
rnacentral:rRNA from 12 species